rnacentral:rRNA from 1 species
UUUUCGCAAUGCCCCGAAAGGGUGACGGAGCGACGCCGCGUGGACGAUGAAGGCCCUCGGGUUGUAAAGUCCUGUCAGGUGGGAAGAACAGCAACGGGAUGAAUAAUCCCGUUGCCUGACGUUACCAUCAGAGGAAGCACCAGCAAACUUCGUGCCAGCAGCUGCGGUAAUACGAAGGGUGCGAGCGUUGUUCGGAAUCACUGGGCUUAAAGGGCACGUAGGCGGGGAGAUAAAUCAGAAGUGAAAGCCCGGCGCUCAACGUCGGAACGGCUUUUGAAAAUGUCUCUCUCGAGUUCAGGAGGGGAGAGCGGAACUCUUAGUGGAGCGGUGAAAUGCGUAGAUAUUAAGGGGAACGCCGGCGGCGAAAGCGGCUCUCUGGCCUGAUACUGACGCUGAGGUGCGAAAGCUAGGGGAGCAAAAAGGAUUAGAUACCCUUGUAGUCCUAGCCGUAAACGAUGGGCACUAAGUAGAGGGGUUUA